UUCCAGCCUCCAGAACUGUGACAGUGUAAAUGUCUGUUGUUUUAAGUGACCCAGGUUGGGGUAAUUUGUUACAGCAGUCGCAGGAAACUAAUACACCUUGUUCCUAUUCCCUUCCUUUUUGUAUAGAUGCUGCUUACAUGCUGAGGAUUUCUUUUUAUUUCCCUAGAAUGCUCCUCUUUGGACAAUCAUACUUUAUGCACCCUAUCCAGGACAGCGAUCUUCGGUCUAGGGUACAUAUUCCCUGAAGCUGUCUUCAUCAAGGAGAGGAGAUUAGGAUACGGACACAACAAGAGGAAAGACCACUUAAAUUUAGACACACAGAGAAGACAGCCAUCUGCAAGCCAAGAGGACAGACCUCGAAAGAACGGUGACCCUGCCAACACCUCGAUCUCAGACUUGCAGCCUCCAGAACCAUGAGAAAAUAAAUUUCUGGUGUGUGAGUCACCCAGUCUGUGGUAUUUUGUUAUGGCAGCUAAAGUAGACUAAUACACAAGGAUUUCAUCUGGGCCCUGACUACCUCUCUAGAGCCUCAGCUCUCUGUCAGGCUCCAUCCAUCCCCAUAUCACCA